rnacentral:lncRNA from 1 species
AACUCAGCAAGAAAACACCUCACACAACUCAGUCAGAAAAUACCCCAGGACAGCAAUAUUGUUUUCUAUUAGCAACCAACAAAACAUGCAUAAUCACCAUUGCAACACUAUAGGCCUAUCAUGAGGCCUCUCGUGACAGUGGCACAAUCGUCAAGCUCAAAAAGUAAAUCAAAUUUGUUAUACAAAAAUUAUUUGUUACAUAACAAUUAAAUAUCGGUCA